UGGAGCUCACUGACUUGAAUGCUUCCCUUGUUGGUCGUCUCCACGAGCUCCUCGGCCAUAGGGUUUCCCUGCAACUCAUCAGCUCUGUUCUUGGAGAUCCUCGUACGUCAGCACUCUCUCUCUCUCCCCCCUUCCAUUGUCAAAAUUCCUAUUGCGAGAUGGGUUAAUAUAGAAAAAAUAAAAACAUAAUCGAAUAAUUGGAAGGAAGGUUAACGGAUUCAAAUCGAGUAAAUUCGGGUGAUUUAGUUGCAUUGUUUGAUAUAUUUGGGUGUUAACUCAACAUUCAUUUUUAUUAUAAAAAAGUGGCUCAUGAUAUUCCGCUACAUGGCGUCUAUACCAAAUACAUAUUUCCAUCGGAGUGUCCGCCUUAAAUUAAUUCAAGAUUGGAAAAAAUAUAUUAGCCAAAUAAUGAAAUAGCAGCAAAACAAAAUUAACCAUAAUCUCAGUUGGUUUUCUUGCGAGGAGUUUUGCAAUUAUCUUCUUCUUCAUCUGAUAAUCUUAAACAGAUUAUAUGAUUGUACACAGUUUUUUUAAGGUAUUUCUUGUUCUUAAGUAAUUGUUUAUGAAGUCUUCCGAUUUAAAUCAAUGAUUAAAAUUCAUCUUAGGUUUCGAUUCCACAUGGAAUCACUUGACUACCUUGACUAAUACCAUAAUAAAAUACAAUAUGAUAUGUCAAUAUGAAAAUAUUGUAUAUACACAGCGAAUGGUAACAAAGGAAAAAUUGGAAAGGCAGCAUACCUGGAGAACUGGAUUCCCACAAUUGCUCCCUUAACUGCUGGUCAAACAUCCUACAACCACCACAGUGAGUUCUUCCUCAAGUUUCUCACCCUCGAAGAUGUUCCCGGUAAAGGCAGGAUGCACUUCGUCUGCAACUCGUGGAUUUAUCCUGCCAAACGAUACGAGAAGAAAUACCGUGUUUUCUUCACUAACAAGGUGGCCUAAUUAAAACCUCAUUCCUUGCUCCGAAAUUCAUAUUCAUCAAAUCAUGCUCUCAUCAGCAGUUAAACAAAUUAUAUGUUGGGGCGCUAGCGGAAAUGUAGCGGAAUUUAGGAUCGAAAAGAUAGUAUUUUGAUAACUCACUCAAUUGAUCACUCAAUUUUGUAAAUAUUACAAUUUGGUCACUUAGACCUUUACUCUCACCACUCACAAAUGUCUCUCUACUUCUUCUUUCUUAUUUCUUCAACUCACACAUGCCUAAAGUCUAAAGUGAGGCUUCAUAUUUAUAGGCUAAUACAACCUCCUUAGGAAGAUACUAGCACACUUGGUAGGUUUAGUGUGUGGCUAGAAUUAGUUUAGUUAUUCAAACAUAUUAAUUAGUUUAGUUGAGUAGUUGAGAUAUUUUUAGGGAUAUUUCUAGAGUAGGAAAUCUCUAGAUUGUUAAAGAUAAUUCCAUAUUGCAAAUUACCUUUAUUCAACAUUAUAUUCGUUUCGCACAACAGACAUAUCUACCACACGAGACGCCAUUGCCACUGGUUAAGUACAGAGAGGAAGAGUUGGUUACCUUGAGAGGAAAUGGAGAAGGGGAGCUCCAAGAAUGGGACAGGGUCUAUGACUAUGCUUGUUACAAUGAUUGGGGAGAUCCCGAUUGCAGUCCAGAGCAUGCUCGACCGACUCUUGGAGGAUCGACUGACUUCCCAUAUCCUCGCAGAGGAAGGACCGGAAGGCCACCGUCAAAAUCAGGUACUUCUCAGCUAUGAGUAGUUAUAAUUAGUUUUUUUUCGAGUAAUAGAAUAAUACAUUGAGCAGAUGCCAAGGCGGAGAGCAGGUUGCCACUUGUGAAGAGCCUAGAGAUAUAUGUCCCCAGAGGUGAGAAAUUUGGUCCCCUGAAGUUGUCUGAUUCCAUCGUUACUCGGCUGAAAUCCAUCAUCCAAUUAGUGAAGCCAGCACUUGAGGAUCUUUUUUCUAAGAAUCCAGGAGAGUUUGAUUCCUUUGAGGAUGCUUUGAAGAUCUAUGAUGGAGGACUUAAGCUCCUUGAAGAUCCCGCACUUGUCUGCCUCUGGAAGAAUGUCCCAUUGGAUAUCAUUAAGCGAAUUUUCAACACUGAUGGAGAGCCACUUUUAAAAUAUCCUCAGCCUGACGUACUCAAAAGGUAUGUCAAUCUGUAACGAUGGAUGUGACUUAAACUCACAUAGAUUCCUAAAAGGUGUUUUUGAUGCCAUUGGCAUUGUUUGAUGUUUCGGACUUCGGAGCAGAGAGUAAGACGGCUUGGAGGAUGGAUCAAGAAUUUGCUAGAGAAAUGCUCGCUGGACUUAACCCUCUUAUCAUUAGGCUUCUUCAGGUUCAAAACAUAUGACCUUCACUUGAAUCCAUUCCAGUGUUCUAUCAUCAUGGUAGCUGACAUUGGCUUUUCUAUUAUUCAUGCACUAACUUUGAAUGCAGGAGUUCCCUCCAAGGAGCAAGCUGGAUCGUAAAGUCUACGGCAAUCAAGACAGUUCAAUAAGUGAAGAGCACAUAGUGAAUCAACUAAAUGGACUUACCGUAAUUGAGGUGACGUAAUCUUGUCUCCACAUUCAAGCUACAGUACCGAACUGAAUGUGUUAUGUCUUCUGACUCUGCAGGCAAUAAAAAACAAGAAGCUAUUCAUACUAGAUCACCAUGACACAGUUAUGCCUUACCUGGGGAGGAUUAAUAACACAACUAAAACCAAAACCUACGCAACAAGGACAAUCUUAUUCCUCCAGAAGGGCGACAUAUUGAAGCCAGUAGCAAUAGAGUUUAGCCUUCCACAUCCUGAUGGUGAUCGGUAUGGAUCAGUUAGCAAAGUCUAUAUACGACCACCAUCAACUGAUCAUCUAGUAGGCGGCCUGAAGAAUUCCAUUUGGCAACUGGCUAAAGCUUAUGUAACCGUAACUGACUCGUGCUCUCAUGAGCUCAUCACCCACUGGUCCAUGCUGAUAAUCUACCAUUUUAAGUCUCAUGUAAGAAACCACUUAGUGAUUUUAAAUCAGAUAAAAACUACAGGUUGCACACUCAUGCUGUGAUCGAGCCGUUUGUAAUUGCAACUAACCGACAGCUGAGUGUACUCCAUACAAUCUACAAGCUUCUCCACCCUCAUCUCCGUGAUACCAUUAAUAUAAAUGCACUUGCAAGACAAAGGCUUAUCAAUGGAGGCGGAGUAGUUGAGGCAACAUUUUACCCUGCAAAGUACAGUAUGGAAAUGUCUUCUUUCCUGUACAAAAACUGGACCUUCACUGAACAAGCUCUCCCGGAGGAUCUCAAGAAGAGGUAAUAACUAUUAACUAAGAUUCCAAAACUAAUACUUGACUAUACAAUUAUCAACCAACCUUAAAAGCCAGAUUAAGACAUUUUACCAAACACUUUUAGGGGAAUGGCAGUUU
rnacentral:lncRNA from 1 species